AGGAAUAUUGGUCAAUGGGCGCAAGCCUGAACCAGCCAUGCCGCGUGCAGGAAGACGGCUCUAUGAGUUGUAAACUGCUUUUGUACUAGGGUAAUUUGCGGUACGUGUACCGUAUUGAAAGUAUAGUACGAAUAAGGAUCGGCUAACUCCGUGCCAGCAGCCGCGGUAAUACGGAGGAUCCGAGCGUUAUCCGGAUUUAUUGGGUUUAAAUGGUGCGUAGGCGGUUUGAUAAGUUAGAGGUGAAAUGUCGGGGCUCAACCCCGAAACUGCCUCUAAUACUGUUGGACUAGAGAAUAGUUGCGGUAGGCGGAAUGUAUGGUGUAGCGGUGAAAUGCUUAGAGAUCAUACAGAACACCGAUUGCGAAGGCAGCUUACCAAACUAUAUCUGACGUUGAGGCACGAAAGCGUGGGUAGCAAACAG
rnacentral:rRNA from 1 species